rnacentral:rRNA from 1 species
UACGUAGGUGGCAAGCGUUGUCCGGAUUUAUUGGGUUUAAAGGGUGCGUAGGCGGCCCUGUAAGUCAGUGGUGAAAUAUCUCAGCUUAACUGAGAGGGUGCCAUUGAUACUGCAGGGCUUGAGUACAGAUGAAGUAGGCGGAAUUGACGGUGUAGCGGUGAAAUGCAUAGAUAUCGUCAAGAACACCGAUAGCGAAGGCAGCUUACUAAGCUGUAACUGACGCUGAGGCACGAAAGUGUGGGGAUCAAACAGG